AUUGAACGCUGGCGGCAGGCCUAACACAUGCAAGUCGAGCGGUAGAGAGGUGCUUGCAUCUCUUGAGAGCGGCGGACGGGUGAGUAAUGCCUAGGAAUCUGCCUAGUGGUGGGGGGAUAACGUUCGGAAACGGACGCUAAUACCGCAUACGUCCUACGGGAGAAAGCGGGGGAUCUUCGGACCUCGCGCCAUUAGAUGAGCCUAGGUCGGAUUAGCUAGUUGGUGAGGGUAAUGGCUCACCAAGGCGACGAUCCGUAACUGGUCUGAGAGGAUGAUCAGUCACACUGGAACUGAGACACGGUCCAGACUCCUACGGGAGGCAGCAGUGGGGAAUAUUGGACAAU
rnacentral:rRNA from 1 species